UCGUGCUAGACGGGGAGCCAGCGGUGCCCUGAACCCGCCUCGGGCGGGUGACCUGCAAACCGCUUUAGCAGGGUUGAACUCCCUGGUCAGGCACGGGUGGCCUGUGUUUGGGCCCUGGUGGCCGGGCGUAGAAGGCCGGGUCCCGUGCGACGGACGCCGGCGGAACCCCGUCAGGCCCGGAAGGGAGCAGCGGUACGCCGUGUGGUUCGGGCGCCGCGGGAAUGCCUGGUCGGAGCCCGACUCCGGGCGUCCGGCGCCGGCCCGCGUGACGAGCCGGGGUGCACGA
rnacentral:SRP_RNA from 1 species